GGUGCUGUGGCUCAAGCGGUCGAGCGCUAGCCUUGCAUGCAUGAAGCUUUGGGUCCAAUUCCUCAGCACCA
rfam:Dipodomys ordii contig_14896, whole genome shotgun sequence.